rnacentral:rRNA from 1 species
AAUCAACGCUGGCGGCGUGCCUAACACAUGCAAGUCGCACGAGAAAGGGACUUCGGUCCUGAGUAAAGUGGCGCACGGGUGAGUAACACGUGAAUUAUCUACCUCCGAGUGGGGAAUAACUGAGAGAAAUCUUAGCUAAUACCGCAUAACACUUACGAGUCAAAGCAGCAAUGCGCUUGGAGAGGAGUUCGCGGCCGAUUAGUUAGUUGGCGGGGUAAUGGCCCACCAAGACGAUGAUCGGUAUCCGGCCUGAGAGGGCGCACGGACACACUGGAACUGAAACACGGUCCAGACUCCUACGGGAGGCAGCAGUGGGGAAUUUUGCGCAAUGGGGGAAACCCUGACGCAGCAACGCCGCGUGGAGGAUGAAGUAUCUCGGUACGUAAACUCCUUUCGAUGGGGAAGAUAAUGACGGUACCCAUAGAAGAAGCCCCGGCUAACUUCGUGCCAGCAGCCGCGGUAAUACGAGGGGGGCAAGCGUUGUUCGGAUUUAUUGGGCGUAAAGGGUGCGUAGGCGGUUUGGCAAGUCUUGUGUGAAAUCUAUGGGCUCAACCCAUAGCCUGCACGAGAAACUACCG